ensembl:lncRNA
GGAGCACUUGUUUCUACAUACUCCUGGUUGCUGGGUAUAACUUAAAAAUAUGUGCAUCCUUGAAUGUGAAAUUCAACCAUGCUCAGGUUGCAGUAGGAACUGCAAGUGUCUGAAGCUGGAGGAUAAGAAUUUAUUCACAAAGCUGUGUUGUCCUUUCCUGGCAGCCUUCAUAUUUUCUUCUUAUCUGUGGUACGCUGGCAGUUAGUGAAAAGGAAAGGAACAAAUCAAGACUUGAGCCAUGGACAACCUCUUGAUAUUUUCUAUUCCUCUGAGCCUGGGAAUUUUGCCAAUCCCAUCUCUGGCCCGACUGGAAAGGAAGGAAAAAUAUAUUUCAGGACUGAAGCAGACUUUUCAGAAGCAAGGAUUCAGAUCUGUAUUUCUUUAAAGGACAGCUGAACAUCCAUCAUGAAGACAUUCAUCAGGCAUUCCACCACUUUGUAUCCCUGCUUCAGAUGAAAUUAGCCAGCACUGGCUCCUGGCAUGCAUCUAAUCUGGACAUUACCUGCAGGUUAGUUUUACUCUGGUGAGAGUAUUAGAGCCCAUUCUACCAAAUCCUUGGCUUCCUCAUAGCUGUCAGUGUAACUGACAGAGACAGUAAAUUUAAAGCCCUGAAUUUAGCCUGAACUUGCUGGUUCUUGCCAUCUGCAGGAACAUGACCUGAACGCUAAGUGAUUUAAGACAGUGCUCUGAACAAUCAAAGGAAUAGUGCGUACCCCAAAGGUUAUAUUAUACCGAUGAGUAUGAUUAAUGAAUUGACCUGUAAUUUCCCGCAGCAUUAGCUAGAGCAGUAAUCUCCCUUCUUAGAUUAUAUUUAUGGAAAUGUAGCAGGUCAGAGUGACUUGAUGCAUGGCUGAGGCAAGCAAAGACCUUUUUGCAGUCAGGCUGGCUGGCAAGAAUCUUUCCUCCUUUAAAGCUCAAAUGUGAUGUUGUCACCUGUCUUCUGCAACCAUGAGAAACCCAGGUAAUCGGUGGCUGUCAGUCACCCCGCACUCAUACAGUAAUUAUGGCAGGCAAAUUAUCAGCAACACCCAACAGACAUCUACUCAGAAAUGCCCCUGAGAGGAUCCCUUUGGGUCUGUGAUGAUAAAGCACUGGUACCCAGUUUCACACAAGCAGAGAUAUUGACCUGCUGUGAGAUCGAAUGAUACCUUAAAGAAAUUUGAUACCACACGUCAGAAGAAUUUGCUGCCACCAAUCUAAGUAGUGAUUUUUUGAUACAGGUAGUAUAAAAAUGUUGAUAUGUAUAAAAGAUUCCUAUUUUUUUACAUUUGGGAAACAGGAAUGAAAGUUAAUCUGAGAAAUAUAACAUGCUAAAGGCAACUACCAGCUUCUGUCCCCCCGUAGCUAAAAUCACUCAAAUGCAUAAUCUUUCAGAUGGCAGCCCACUGCAAGCCCAUCUUUUGGCACUUGGUGCCACUUUUCCUGAUUUGCUAUAAAGCCUACUGAAAAUCCCCAACGGUCUUACCAAGUUCAGAGUCAAGCUUUUAACACACUGCUCCACUUCAGUGCCCUACUAGGACCCAGCUCUGCCCUGGACAGCUGCAGGUAAUGAGUAAGCCUCACCUGAGUAAACUUGCUAGUGUGAUUAUUUUUACUUAAACAGUUUAAUGUAGCGGUAAUUUCUUUUUUUCAUCCAUUCCCUAUUUGUCUCGCAAGCAGAAGGUGGGAAAAAACAUUCCCCACCCUCAGACAUAAGCCUUUUUUUUUUUUUUUUUUUGAGUGUGAGUUGUAAAUAUUUUGAAAUUUUGUAUUAUGACUAACUCUCCAGGGCCCAGACGCGUUCCAGUACAACUGACUUAUUCCAACAAAUUCCUAAUAUGCCACUCAGCACCUCCCGUGCUUUCCUUCAGCUCCUCCUCCCUUCCCUCUGCCUGCCAAGUGGGCAGGGAGGGCUAUAGUAGCUAUGGGAUGGUAAUGAAGAGCCAGCAGGGGCUGAUUUCUGCCCAAGCCCUGGCCCUGAGCCCUGGCCCUUCCUCCCCUUCCUUCCUCCCUCCUUCUUUUCAUCCUGGAGCAUAAGAAAGUGCCAUCCAGCUGCAUAGCCUUGUUUGACCUUCUUUAUGGCAGGAUAGCCCAGUCCUCCUCAUGGUCUCAACCUGUCCCCUAGUACAGGGCAGGUAGUGUCUUCACCCUCUCCUCCUGCCCCUCCUCUCCACUGUCAGGUCCAUAGUGGGCACACCGCCAAUGUCAGGGAAAUUACCCUGAUAUCACUGUAACUUCCUAACCAUAUAAAAAGUAAGAUCCAGGGGUCACGCAGAAGGAUGUCCUCACUGGAAAGUAAGGCAAAGCACAGAUAGCAUGGCUGGGAAAAGCAAAAAACAAGACAAACAAACAAAAACCCAAGACAUUAUUCUCUUGUUUUGUGAAUGCUGAGGCCUGUGGGAUAUUCUGGCAGUUUGCAGCACCACCUAUACUGAAGCUCCUUCCCUCUCCCUCCAUGACUGCACAGAGGGAAAAAAGGGUAAAAAAAAAAGAAAAGAAAAAAAGAAAAGAAAAAGAAAAAAAAGAAAAAAAAGAAAAAAAAGAAAAAAAAAGAAAAAAAAAGAGAGAGACAUUGCAACUACUACUGUCAUCACAGUAGUGAAAUGACAACAGUUUACCAGCAUGUGUGCAGUAAGCCUCCUUCUCAGUGCCUCCUCAAUACAAAAUUUCUGCUGCAAAGCGCUACAUAUUAUCGAGAAUUUGGGAUUGAGAGCACCACUCCCUUUGUAAGAAAUACACUAUCUCCACCCAAAUGGAAAGAAAGGGCGAUUGUUCCAUGGGGAGGGUGACUCAGUGUUUGGUGGCAAUACAAUGUGCCUUUUGAUCACUAUGUAAAACAAACAGAGACUACAACUGAGAAUGCCAAUAGCUAUUACUGCAUCAGAGGACGGUUAACACACUGUUGCCAAACACUUGCACAACGUUUUUGACUGACAGAUGCCCAAGUGCUGCAUAGGAAUGAGGCUGAAAGAAAUACUCAUAAUCAUUAGCAAAUCUUUGCUGCAUCAGUGUAUUAUUAACCCCAUUUCACUCAGUGUCAUGCAGAGGUAUGGAAAACCAAGGAACUGCCCCUUGCUCUGGAGAGCAAUUCAGUAACAGAACCACAAAUAAACACCACAUAAACAUCUAGUCCUCUGAUGUAAUGCUUAGACACCUUAAAUGGUGCAAACAGUCAUCUGUGAUAUAUCUCUGCUGACUUUUGUUGUGUUGAGCAAACUGAAUUGAAGUGAAACUUUCUGGAGUAUACACCAUACUUUACAGAAACUUUUAUCAGCCCAUCUACACUAAUAGUUAUGUAUCUUGUUAGGAAGAAAAGUAAUUUCAACCUCAAGUGAUAACCAUGUUGUUAAAGGCUUUAUUGCCAGAGAACCUUAUGAAAAAAAGAGCAAAUCUGCAGUUAGAGGAAAGAGAGUUUUCCUUGUCUCUUAAGUGCCGCCAGCCUCAAAUUUUAAUGAAAUGAAGCGAUAUAAAAAUGCUUCCACAGUGGCAUGUGCCUUCAAAAACCUUUUGGCAAAGGCACCACACUUAGUGACGAUAGACUUAGACAGAUAUCACAAAUUGGAGUGAUCAGGAGAGACGAGAAGAGUUACAUAGAAAAUAAAGGGAAUAAAUUUAGCCUGUGUGAAAGAAAUAGGAGAUUUUGAACAUGUGAAAAAGCCGUUACAAAGAUGAGACCAAUAAACUGUUCACUACAAUGUCCUUCAGGGGCGUGGGCAGGAUAUAAAGGUGAAGACACAGACACCCAUCUGCAGCACUGGAAAGAACUUUCUAAGUUCUGGAAUGAACUAUAUCGCAGGUUUUAGACAUACAUAUAUACAUAUACACCCAAACAGCUGAGAUAUACCAGGGAAUGCCUAGGUACAGUAGUUCUUAUCUGGAUCAAAGCUGUUGGCAAUAUCUUGAUAUCCGUGUAGGUUUUAAGUUUUGUGAUUCAAAGACACCCUCCUGAAAAUCAAGUUUUGUACAUUUGCCAGUUUCUGACAAUUGUUCUCUGCAAAUAUCAAAUAUAUACAUAUUUUUAAAAGCUGUUUUAAAUACACUUCUAUUGUCCUCACGUUGGCACGAGAGAAGCACAGAAAAUAUCACUGCAAGAUUUCCUCACAAUCAGGAAGUGAGUUUAGGCUGGUUGUGGUUGCCAUGUGGGCUGAAGGCUACAGAGGCCUCCAGCAAGUGCAGCUGGGUGGCUGAACAGCAGCAGCAGUCACUCCAGCUGCUCUUUUUCCUGGGCUCCGCCUGGAGCUCCUGUUAGCGUACAACCUAAUAUUUAGUCUAGUCAUCGCAGCCGGAAGAAACAGCAUGUCCAAAAUGUGCUCAAAGUAAAUGGCUUGAAACCAAGGAGGUUUUAAAACCCACAGAGAACACAGUUGCAAGAAAUCCUUUUUUAGUUUCAAAACUUGAGGCAGUUGUCUAAAUGACUUUAAAACCUAGUUGUAUUAAAUCUACUGAAGAUGAGCUAACUGUCAAAUAACACUGAAAGGCUGAAGUAACCUAAAAAGAGGGAGAUGUCUUAAAUUGCCUUGCUUGUUAAAUUUGUUCCAAUCUACCAAAAAUAACAGACUUCUCAAAAUUCCUGCUUCAUAGACAUCACAACCACACACAAAUCUCAAAAACAUUUGUUUGUGAAGGAGCCUCAGUGCUCUGGCUGAAAGCUUUAAAGAAAUGGGAUUAUAUGGUGCAUUGACCUGAAUCUGCACCAUAUCCUCCCAGCCCAGGCUUUUGAACACCCACCAUGAAGCUGAGCGGGAUAUAAGGAGUAAAACUCACCAGCCAGCAUUGUGGUCCAGGAAGGGGCCCAAUCAUUAGGGAUUUGACUCAGGAGAAGUAAUACUUGGUCAGGGGUUUGUUGGGUUAGGGUGUCUGGGUGAAAUCCUAUGUGAGGAAGGGUGCAUCAUACCAUGAGCUUGUAUUGUUCUCACUCUUGGAUAUGCUGUUGCUGGUAUCCAUACAAAACGUAGGAGAGAAAGACAGGUUGCUUCAUUCCUGAUGGCUCACAGAGCUGAUGACAUGGCUCCAACAGGCCACUAUGUUUUGAUAUUAGGAGCUGACGUAGAGAUUUGUCCAGCGUACAGUGAGCUCUCCUGAAGCAUUUGUCCCUGAGAAAUACCUCUAGCUUGCCACUUCUGGCAACAACAGGCCAGGGCCAAACUUUUAGCAACACAGUUCCCAUCAGUGACUGAUGCUUGGAGCAGAAAUAUCCAGAGCUAUAUAAAUGGUUGGGGCUGAACUAAGUCAUUGCUGUCUUUUCCCCGUGUUGUUCUACAUGCAUCACUGGUGAGACCACAGAGAAGUUGGAAAAGAAUCUAGGAAUUAUUCAUUGCUGAGUCACAGUACUGAAACAGCAUGGACGUAAGCAAAAAGCCAGGCAUGCAAUAUUGUGGUUAUAUAGUAUGUUCAUGCUGAAUGCAAGAGUUAAUUAAUAUCAAUGCAUUACAUUUAUAUAGCUAUGAUUUGCUACCAUAAUGUGACCGACUUUAAGAUGUUUUUCUUCAGAUUCAGGCAGUUUUAGGCUUUACAAAACAUGCAAGGGCAUCAAAACUGUUGUGUGCUACCUUGGUUCCUUGUGGACCCACUCACUGCCAUUUAAAUUAUGGGAACUCUGGGUAGGCUGUUUCAAUUUCCUUAUGGCUUGUCAGCUCAGAAUGUUGGUAACUAAAAAUGCUGGACAUGCUUUGGGCCUGACUUUAUCCGUGGGGUCAGAGAGCAAAUGCAGAGGAGGCAGUGUGGCAGCUGCUCUGCUCCUGGAAUAUGGAAAUUCACUGAGUUCACCGCAGCCUUUGUAGCCUGAAUCACCAGGGCUAGAUUUGGAUGGAGAGAAAGGACCCUGCACUUGUGUCUUAACUGACCACUCACACAAUUGCAAAUAUUGCGAUGUAAAGAAAAAAAAGAGGUUUAAUUAUAGUAAAGAAAAUAGUGUAGCACAAAUGUUUUGCAUGGUUUCAAAUGUCUCUUCCUGAUUUUCAUGUCAGAAUUGUCAGAAAUGUGUUGUUUUUUCAUUCUGAAGGUUGUUGAGAUGAGACCCAUCUUUUUUCUACAAAUGCUUCAGUAUUUUCAAAGCACACUGCACACAGUCUGCAAGCUUUCUCCCCCCAGAAUCGUUGAUACUCUUGGUCCAGGAAUUGUGUUUUCUUCUUCAUUUGUUUUAUUCAUUAUAUUAUACUUCAGUAAAUCACAUUUCCACAAUGUUCUAAUUCCUCCUUCAUAGGAAUUUGAAGGGAUUCUUCCAAUCCACCAGCAAGUUGCGACUUUCUGCAUAGUAAUGACAAGGUAUUACUGUGAUGCCCUUUCAGAAAUGAGAGCAUGUGUUAUUCAUUGGCUAAUAGUGGUAGGUUAUUUAUUAGAAGGCUGCAGUUAGUCACUGAUCCUCAAAUUGUAAGUAGUUAAUAUUUAAGAAAGCUGAAUGAAAUCUCUUUUUGUUGUACUUGGUAAAAACAUUACUAAGGAAUGAGGAAAAAAACCUAAGCCGCCAAGUUAGACUGAGGUGUUUUAUGAGUAAAAUCAGCUCUUUGUAUUGACUUUGGCUUCAGCUCUUAACUGGACCAGACAAAAGAAACAUUUCUUCCAUUUGGUGUUUACCUGCUCUUCUCAUGCAUGUUUCAGUGCAAUUUGCAGUACCUGAGCACUUAGAGGUCCUAGUCCAGUGAGUUUCAUGGCUCGAUCUAUUCUUAUCAUGGACAGAGAAGUUUAUCUGAUCUCGUUACCUCCCAAAAUAAGUUGCAUCACAGUGAUACAAUUUCCUUAUUCAUGUACAAGCUUUUGGUAGGAGCAGUGCCCCUCAGGACAAGACGGCUUAGAAUCCAGAAGUAGGUCCAUCCCUGGGGAUUCAACUGCCUCAAUGUGAUUUCCUGAUAUUGUGCAUACCCUCACAUUUUUGCAGGUGCUUUUUCCUCUGUUGAAAUACUGGCAGCUUCAUUGUAGAGAAAAAGAAACAAGCAAACAAAAAUAAUCCUCCCAAAUGAAAAAAUAAUAAAAAAAAUAAAAAUAAGAAUAAUAAAAAAAAGAACAUCCUUGUUCCUCUCCAUUGCUUUACAAGAGCACAAGGUAUGAAAAACAUCAUGUUUUAGAACCCAGGCACUGGCACUGCAAGUCUCACGCACAGCCAGCUUGAAAAUGCUGGCAUGCCCAGUCUGUUUUUCUCAUAGAAAAUCUGUAGCUUUGAAAAAAAGUUAAAAUUUUUAUCAAGUUUUUGAACAGAGGAAUUUAGCAUUCAUUUACAAUUUCUAAGUAGUCUGAUGCUCUAAACCAUUUAAUAUUAGUUCUUCUCUGAUGCAAGUUACUGGUAAAUGGAUCCAAGUUUGGAGGUAUGAGAGGAGAAAUGGAAACAUCAUAGUUUUUGUAGCUGCCCCAUAAGAGAAUUAUUGGGCAACAUUCAGUGGCAGCCCUGUUGCUGAAAUACUGUGGGUCUCAAAUUGUGCUAACAGUUUUCAACCACUACUACUAAGCUAUCAUUGAACUUGCUUAUUACUUUAGUUGCUUCUUUCUGGGUCAUUUGUCAGUACUGAGUCAAGAAGAGGAAUAAUGAUCUCUGAAGAUACAGCAGUAUCAGUGUGCGAUUAUUUUAUAAAAAAGAAUCCUCUCACUCUUAUACCAUGAAACCUCAAAUGGUUUUGCCAGGCAACUACGUACUAUGGAUUUGACCUUUAUCCUUUCCCAACUCGAUGUUUCACCUCUUCUUCAAUGGGCAUCUUUGUGCACGUAGGUGGCUUAUGGAGAAUAAUUUUCCCCCAAAGCAGCAGCAUUAUUAGGAAUGUUGGUAAUGCACCAGGUCAGCUUACAACUGUGGAGAUGGCAUCAUCCAACCACUGGACAGUAAACAAGAGUAUUUUAAAAAGUAAAAACCAUGUUAUUUGUAAAUACGUGAGUGUGGUGGAAGUAAGAGGAGGGAGAGGCAGAAGGAAGCCUCUUCUUGAGUUCCUGUGGACUAUUCCCUUUUGUCAUACUGGGACAUGGAUAAUUUUUAGCAAGGGAUUGAGUACAUUCUCUUGUUUUGUACUAAGAAAAGAAGCUAGUGGAAUUUUUGAGAUGGGUGAAAAGAAAACAAAAAAAGGUAAACUGAGAAAAAUAACACCACUUUGCUUUUGAUUGCCUUUAACACAUGAUAGGGAGGACUCUUAAAAGCCUCAAAGAAAGAGUGAUAAGGUGGGGAAAAUCUUAUGUGUUCUUUUCAGUAUUACCAUGCCUACAAAACUGUUAAUAACAUAUUUCUGUGUCCCAUACUUUUGCCUUCUAUGGCCUCUUUAUCAUAACAGCCCCAUGCCUCCUCAUUCUGCAAGGACUCUCUGUGUCCAGUGUGAUCAAUCCAGCAUUUCUGAUCAACAUGGUUCCUUAAAAGCUGUUGUGAAGAAGUUUAAUGAAUAAAUAUACACUUAUGUACAGAUUAAAUCUUAAGUUCUAACUUCAUAGUGUAGACAGAAAAGGAGCACCAAUUAAAAAACUUGUGGCUGUCAAGAUUUUCCUUGAUGAGUAGGUGUAGGAUUUUUGGGAAGGUAUGCAGGUCAAGUCACAGUUUGUUUUGUAAGUUUUUGGGCAGGGUAGAGGAAAUGGCCAGUCUGAGAGCCUUAAGAGGCAUUUGUGGAGAGACUUUCAAUACCCCCAACAUAUACAGGCUUAGUGUCAGAGGGCAGAGAUAGGAGGGGCUGGCAGAAUUAAAGACGGUGCAAAGAAUCACAAAUAUUUUUGGUACUUUUGUAUUCUUGUAU